GUGAGAAUAUUGGCAUUAUUUUCCAUUUUUGCAAAUCUCUUGAAUGCCCUCCUUAAAAAAGGCACUGGCUUUUCAUUUCUACUUAUACAUUGACUCUUUCGUAAUAUAUUAUUUUGAUUGAAAUAUAUGAAGAAAAAUCUGGCUGAACACAAGUGCGUCGCUGGAAAAAGGAUCUGAUGGGCGCCUGAAAGAGCCUCGGGGACCCUAGGUUUUCAGACCACAUUUUGAGAGUGACUGAUACAGAUGGAAGAGCUAAAAAUACCUUGUUCUCAUAAAAAGUAGAUGAGAAUGGAAUGAAUGUUUAUACCAGUUAGGCAUCUAAAGCACUGCUUAUAGAUGGUCCCAUUAUCAAGUAUUAUUUUGGAUUUUCUAUCAGCUAACAAUUAAAUCAAGUCCUUCAAUUUUAUUGUAAAUAAACAAUUUGAAAUCUCACACACUCACGACAGCAGCUGUUCUAUUAACUCCUCGCACACACUGAGGUUACAGAAAAGUCGGCCUGGAGGUGAAGAGAUGUAGGGGGGAGGGGGUUGUUGAUGUGCCGUGUGUCCCCCUCCCACCCCCAAGGGGUGAUGGGCAGAUACAUGCUGUGGGGGAGGGGAGACGAAGCCCCCAUCUGCCCAAGCAGGUGCCUGACCUGUUGUAGGCAUGGUCUGGCCUGGAGGAGUAUUUUUAAAUGAAGUGAUACAUUUUGGUAACAUCACUACACUGGACCUGGUCCUUCCCCACUGGUGCCAACUCCUUUGUUGCUUGAAAGUGACCACAAUGGUGAUGGGCCAUGAUCUGAAUUCCAUCCUGGGGCGGGCAAGUUUCAGCCUACCAGAUUAAGUUGAAGAGACAGUGGAACCCCAAAUAAAAUUCACUGAUUAUCAUAUCCAUCAGCUGUGCUUCUUCAGUGUAGUGCUUAAACAUCCCUCCAUUUUUUUUUUUUUUCCCCUGUAAAGGGUCAUAGCUUUAUACAGGCACCAAGGGGCCCGGGAUGCAGAGAGGUUCUAACUGCUGCUGCAGACAACGGGAGGCCAUGGUGUCGUGUUGUGGGUCAUGAUGAGAGCAGCUUUGGCAUUUCCGUGGCUGCCUUUGGUGGCAGGGUGGCCUCUCUGAUGGGGUGGCCUCAAGUCUGGAGGCAGCAAGGUGAGAAAGGAGGCUUCUGCAAGAGCGGCGCGCUUGCGUCUGGGCUGUAGAGCUCUGGGCAGAUUCAGGAGUUAUCCAGACAUGGGAUCAGUGGGGACAGAGGCUGUGCAGAUGCUGAGCGGGAAGCAGACAAGGAGGGACAACACCCCUGAGCUGGAUUGACCAGCUGGACAGGUUUUGGUCUCGCGACUGAGCUGGGAGAAUGUUAAGAGGAAGAGCAGGUCUUAGGCGGAAGAUGACUGGCUCAUCCAGGAAUUGGAAGUGCAUUGAGAAAAGAGUCAACAUGUGCUUGAUGCUUAGAAAAGAGAGCUGCACUCAGUUUGGAGAGAGUAGAGUUAUGUUAAGUAGGCAAUUAUUUUAAGAAACCUAGACAGCAUGGCAGAAAUCUAGAAGACACAGUAUGGGUUUUAUUUUAUUUUUAAUUGAAGACACUUGGACAUCUUUAUAGGGGAACAGGGCCACUGGUUUUCACUCCAAAGAAGAGAAAUGUGGUCUACAGAUGAUGGCAGAAAUUCCUCAGGCCGGGAAUGGAACCUGAGCCAUAGCAGUGACAACGCUGGAUCCCCAACCCACUGAACCACCAGGCUGUUACCCGGGUUCAGAGAUAAAUGCAACGUGCUGGCAAAGAGCCGAUGCUCAGUACCGACCUACUCACCGUAGCCAUCACAGUUCCACUGUUAAAUAAAGCUGUUCCAUGUGCCACAUCCACCUGUGCCUGAUGCGCCUGGCCUCGGAUUGCUAAGCUCUUCCUUGCAUUUUGGACGCAGAACCUUCUUCCUCACGGGAGCUCCAUCUUGGUUUCCCUGCUCCCUCAGCACUGUAGACACACCUGCCCUCCAUGCCUUCCUCCUCAGCCUGCCACCCGUGGCUGCAGCUCACAUCCCACCUGAGGGCUGGUCUCAGAGGGGCCCGGGUCACAUGGCAAGGGGCUAUGUGACUGGCACCUGCCUCUCCUUCAUCCUCAGAGCAUCAGGGCACCUCACCCAGGUCCCCUGGGAGGUUGGCCUCCAAUGCCCCAGAGCCCUGGUGCCCCUCCUGCCCAGCCAGGGGAAGCUCCUGGAUCCCCAGCGUGACAUGGAGGUGAAGGUAGUUGCUCCAAAGUCCAGUCGUGAGACCACAGAAGGAAGGAAGUUGUGUUCCUGUCCCUGCUGUGGGGAACUCAGAAGGCACUGAGAGCUCCGAGGCCUCGGACCCGGGCUGUCACACACCGAGAUAAGGGGGCCAUGCUGCCGGCUCCCUCGAAAGGUGCACUGUCUCCGUGGGAGGAUGGGAUCCAGGCACCCCCCUCCAUGUGCUAAUGGACCCCAAAGUCAAAACAGGUUGUGUCCGGACUGUCGGCCCGUUCCCUGCCCCCGCUACUUUAGUCCACAGCCAGCAAAGAUGGGCAUUCCUGCCAGACCUCUAAGUCCAUCAGCUUGGACCCCUCAGCCCCUGGUUCCCUGCGUCCCUGUAGCUGGGACCCUGAGGAAGGCUGAGCCCACCCCACCUCUGAGCCCUGUGGCCCUGUCCAAGCGGAUCAGGGAGGUCAUGGCCGUGGCCCACAGGCCCAGCUUCUGUCUGGCUGCAGGUCCACCCUGCCAUAGUACCUGGGUGAAUAAUGAGAAAAUUAGUAAAAUCGAAACUAAGGAAACACAUCAACAUAGCUCCCCCCACCCCCAGCUGCUUCCAACCACCCAAGGAAAACCACCUGUAGAGAGUGUUUGGGUGUAUUUCCUUCCAGGCCUUUCCUCUUCUGUUCUCUUCUCUGGCUUGAGCUGAUCGCCAUGGGCUGCAGUGACCCCAGAUAAUUUCUCCUUCGUGGGGGUAAUUUUAUCGGGAAAACACGUAAACGUUUGGGUUAAGGAUCCAGCAUUGCUAGAAGAUGAGGCUCAGAUCUGGUGUUGCUGUGGCUGUGUGUAGGCCAGCAGCCGCAGCUCCUAUUUGACCCAGGAACUUCCAUGUGCGGAAAGUGCAGCCAUAUUAAAAACAAAGUCCAGAAUUACAAGAAAAUAAGUUUUUGAUUUUUUAAGGCACUAAGUUUUGUGGUACCUUGUUACAGCAACAACAGGAAACUGAUCUAAAGGGGAUGAUGAAAUAAAUAGCUAUAAUAAGGAUCAUGGAAGCUAGGACUGUCCCUAUGGAAAUGAGGGUUCUAUAAAUAUGGAAAAGGGGAGCACUUGAAUAAAACCUGUUUAUUGGGUUGGAAUUAGGAGUGUGGUGUGAACUUCACUUUAUACAUACAGAUAUUUUCAUACGCAUAUAUGUCAAUAGAGGUGUAUCUGUGUCUAGAUACAUACAUGUAUCUUGGCUGUAACCACUAAGAGUCUGGGAGUGCAACAUCACUAUAAGCACCCUUUGCACCUAGAUCUUGGCUUCUAAAUACCAUUUUCCACUAAAGCUUCUUGGAAAGCCAGUUCCAGGCUGGAUUAAAGCAAGUGGGAAAUGAGCCUGGACCAUCUUGUGUCAGAAAACAAGGACGUGUUCAAAGAAUGAUGGGGAUGUAUUAAAAGAACACAGAAGCCAGCUGCCACUGGUUAAAUCAGUAGCAUCCAGCUCCAAGAUGAAUCCUGAGAGCAAUGGACUACAACUCACGGACAGGAAACCGCAAAUUCAUAAAGAUAUAAAUAAAUCAAGGAACAAACUGAAAGUUUGAGGAAGGAUCAGAUAUUUUCAUAGUUCCUGAACCAAGGGGUCAAAGUGAACAUUGUCAGUACAGUAAUCUAGUCGGACAAACGAAUGGAAGGACAGUCUACAAGUCUAACCACCUCGUUGUCUUCAAAUGUGUCAAGGUCAUGGAAGUCACAGCAAGACAGAAACUCCCAGUCUGACAGUGAAAGAGAUGUAACGACCCAAGACAACACAUGAUCCUGAGGCUUCUUUCUCUAUAACAGAUGCUAUUGGGAUACCUGGCAAACCUCGAAUGGGCUCUGGAGCCUUCGAGGCAGGAACGGCUCAGCGUGACUGCUGAAUUUGGUCGCUGCACUGGGGUAAAGAAGAAGAAUAUGCUUGUUUGGGAGAAAUGCACAUUAAGUAAUUAGGGGCAUCAUGUCUCAAAGGGUUCAGGGAAAAAGAGCCUUUGCUCUCUACGUGAAAAUCUUCUGUACGUUUAUAAUUAGUUAAAUAUAAAAAGGAAAGAAGGAAGGAACAAAGAAAGGGAAGAAGGAAAGAAGGGUCUGUCUUACUAAUUUGACUUUGGUGUUUUAUGCUCUUUAGAGGUAUUUUCAAACAUACAUAGAAAUGAAAAUAAAAACUCUAUUAGCAUAUAUAAAAUCUAUACCCUUAAAACCCGUAUCAGCUGAAAUAAUUUUAUUAGCUAUCCUGAGAUAUUUCUUUUUUGACUGUCUUCAGGUUUAGAUAUUUUUGAGCUGAACUGGUUUUUCGACACUGAAGCGAAAAUCUUUAUAUUGAAGUUUGUGGAGGGUGACAUCACAAUACUUUAGAAUGUUGCCAAAGUUUCAGAAGAAGGAGACUGAGGUUUGACCUGAUGUGCUUGGUAUCUCAUUAGGCUCUCCGUGCUUUGAUACCCUCUCCUGGUAGAAGUUUCCUGGUCUCACUCAGAGAUCAGAAAAUACACUUUUCUGUGUCAAACUUUCCAGUGAAGUAAAGGUAGAGAAAGCACUGCUUCACACAGAACUUUCUGUUCAUGUUUUUUUCUUUCUCUUUUCUUACAAUUUAAAGGGAAGAGUGGAAAACUUCAAAUAUGGAGAAGAGCAAGUAAUACAAAGUAUCCCCAUGUGCCCACCAAUAAGAUCUAACAAAUGAGAGUACUUUGCCUAAAGAAAUAAAAACAUUGUAGAGACAGCGUAUGUGCUCCUGUUUCCCCAUCCAUCCCGUUUCUCUUUCUCUCUGCAGAGGUAAUCCGUCAUUGUCUUCAGGUUGGUGUGUAUACAUUCUUUCAUCUAUGUUGGCUUUUUGUAUAGUUCUACAAAUAAUAUAUGUUUCCUUUGAGGUACACAUUAAAAUUUCAUAUAAUGUCACUUCAUAUGUACACUCUGCAACUUGCUUUUUUUAUUGAGGUAAAUUUUAUUGAGGUAAAUUUUAAUGAAAUCACAGGGCUUAAGUAUUCAGUUUGAUGAGGUUUUAUAUAUAUCUAUAAUAUCUAUAUCUAUCUAUCUAUCUAUCUAUCUAUCCAUCUCAAAUGUCCCAUACAUCCAUGUGGCCAGUAGCCCAAUCAAGAUUUAGAGCAUGACCAUCCACCCCAGAAACUUCCCUUCCAGUCAAUCCCACCCCUAUAGACAACUUUUUGAUUUCUACCAUUACAUAGUAAUAUCGCUGUUCUUAACUUUGCUAAUAGCUAUAGGAAUCUUUGCUGAAUAUCAACUGACUACAUGUGUGAGUCUAUUUUGGAGCUCUCCCUUUUGUUCCCUUGAUCUUUUGGUCUAUCAUAUCAAUACCACACUAGAUCGAUCACCAUAGCUUUAUAUUAAGUCAUGGAAUCACAAAAUACGAGUCCUCCAGCAUUCUUUCAUUUCAAGAUAGUUUUAGACAUUUUGGGGUCUUUUCAAUUUCCACAAAAUUGUAACAAUCAACCCACUAAUUUCUACCAAAGAAUCUUCCAGGAGUUUGGUUAGGAUUACACUGAAUCUGUACACCAAUCUGAAGAGAAUUCAUGUAUUGACAAUAUUGAGUCUCCCAGUCCAUGAACAUGGUAUACCUUUCCAUUUAUUUGGGUCUCAUUUAAUUUCUCUCAGGGCUUUUUGUUGGCUUCACUGUAGAAGUCUCAAAAGUAUUUUGUAAAAUUUGUUCCUAUGUAGUUAAUGUUUGAUGCUAUUGUAAAGGAACUUGGUUUUUUUUUUUUAAAGGAAUUUUUCAGUUUUAUUUUCUAAUGUUUUGCUGCUGAUGUACAGAAAUACAAUUGACUUUUGUAUACUGGCUUUGUACUCUGUGGCCUUUCUAAAUUCACUGAUUAGUUCUUAAAUUUGUUUUGCAGAUUCAUCAGAAUUUUCUAUGUAAAUAAUCAUGCCAACUGCCAACAAAGCAGUUUACACCUUUUUUCCCAAUCCAUUGCCUUUCCUUUUUUUUUUUUUUUUUUUUUUGUUUCCCCAUUGGCACUGGUGAGGGCCACUAGUACAAUGUUGAAAGGAGGUGAUAAAAAUGGAUAUCCUUGCCUUGUUCUCAAUUUCAGAUGUAAAAUGUUCAAUUUUUCACCAUUAUACAUGAUGUUAACUCUAAAUACUCAUAUGUGUCCUGCAUCAAAUGUAUACAUGUACUCUAUCAAAUUGAAGAAUUAAAUCAAAUCAAAAUCAUUUUCCUUUCAGAUUGCUAAAAGUUGUUAUUAAGAAUUUAUUCUGAAUGCUUUCAAAUGUUUUCUUAAUUUAGUGACUUAUAUUUAUUUUCAAAUGUGAAACCAGCUUUGCAUCUCAAGAAUAAACCCCACCUAGUCAUGAUGUUGUUGUAUUUAAUUUGCUUUUUUUUUUGGUCAUGCCCAUGGCAUGAGGAAGUUCCCAGGCCAGGGGCUGAACCCAUGCCACAGCAAUGACCUGAGCUGAAGCAGUGACAACGCUGGAUCCUUCACCCAGUGAGCCACACGGGAACUCCUUGAUUUGCUUUUUAAAGGACUUUUAUGUCUAUGUUCACAACGGAUAUUGGUCUGUAAUAUUCUUUCUACUAAUGUCAGGUUGUUUUUAGUUUGGGGUUCUUACAAAGAGUCUUGUUAUAAACACUCUUGCAUAUUUUUUUUGCUGCAAUAUUAUACCUUUACGUUGGGUAUAUACCUUGCAAUAAAAUUUCCGGUUCAUAAGGUACGUGUAUGUUUAAUUUUAGCAAAUCCUGCCAAAGUGGUUGUGGCAUUUUACACUUUCAGGGUACAGUGUGUUGCUGGAAGUGUGGGCUGUGAGCUAUUUGCUGCUAGUCUGCAAAGAGGCAGGUCCAGACAUUGAGAGUGAGCAUUUAGAAACUUUUGUAGAAAGGGGCCCUUGCUGUGGCUACAAGGCCACAGUCAGCAGCCUUGUGUGACAGUGCACACCGAGAUUUCUGCUGUCACAUUUGCAUGAUAAGGCCCGGGAAGCAGAGGCUCCACACUGGUCCUUCUCAGUGGGACCAUGUUCUGGUCUGCCACGCACUGGAAGUUGAAAAACAAAAAAGAACGCUGGUCCCUCACCACAUACAGUUUGAGAAGAUUUGGUGCCUGAGAAUUCUGGUGGUUCCAGGUCCUCUGCUAACAUUCAGUAAUUUUCAUUUUAUUCUUUCUGGUAACGAGAGUGUCCAGUUGUCUGGCCCUGUGAUUUUAUUUUAUUUUUUAUUUAUUUUUUAACCCACUGAGUGAGGCCGGGGAUCGAACUCGCAUCCCCAUGGACACUAUGUCAGGAUCUUAACCCACUGAACCACAGUGGGAACUCUUGUACUAGGAGACCUGUUGAAUACACGAUCUCUUUACUUUUAUUUAUUUAUUUGUUUAUGUAUUUAUUUACUUUUGUCUUUUUGUCUUUUUAGGGCUGCACUCGCGGCACAUGGAGGUUCCCAGUCUAGGGGUCCAAUCGGAGCUGUAGCUGCCAGCCUAUAGCACAGCCACAGCAAUGCCAGAUCCGAGCUGCGUCUGUGACCUACACCACAGCUCACGGCAAUGCCGGAUCCUUAACCCACUGAGCGAGGUUAGGCACUGAACCCGCAACCUUAUGGGUCCUGGUCAGAUUUGUUUCCACUGCGCCACCACGGGAACUCCGUAGCAUUGUGAUUUUAAUUUGUGUUUUUCCAAUCACUGAGGCGGUCACUCCCUUCCGAUCUGUGCAUCGGUCGUCUGGAGGUCCCUUCGUGUGAAGUAAGUAUUCAAGUCCUUGGCUCACCUUCAAGGUUUAUGUUUUACGUUUUCCCAAAACACUUGCGCCCUUUCCUCACUACCCCCUCCCCAUUUCUAUGGGGCAGAAGGUGAGCAAAAUAUGGGGAGGACAAAAACCUGAUUCAAAAGUCAGAUCUAUCCGAGUUUACUCAAGUGGUAUUUAUGAGCACCUACCAUGUGCCAGGCACCGAGUGUGACCACAGGGAUACAGCACUGAACAAAACAGCGACCUUCUUGCCCCGCAGGAAUGUACACGCUAGAGAGGAGAAUACACAGGACACGGAUGCCUCUGGAUGGCGAGUGUUAUGAAGAAAAUAGGAUAACGAGAGGGUCACUGGGAUGGGAGGACACAUGGGCAACCGUCAUGAAAGCUUUUCUGGAGAGAUUAUAUUUAAGCCUGCGACAGAAUACUGCGGACGAGGCAGCCACACAGUCUCCAAAGAGCAUUCGAGGAACAGAAAACGCCAGGUGCAAAGGUCCUGAGGUAGAAACAUGGUCUGCGUCUUUUUUUUUUCCCUCUCUUUUUAGGGCCGCAUAUGGAGGUUCCCAGGCUAGGGGUCGAAUCAGAGCCGCAGCUACGGGCCUACACCACAGCCACAGCAACACCGGAUCUGAGCCGAGUCUGUAAUCUACACCACAGCUCACAGCCAUGCUGGAUCCUUUACCCACUGAGUGGGGCCAGGGAUCGCACCCGCAUCCUCAUGGAUACUAUUCAAGUUCAUUACCGCUGAGCCACAGUGGGAACUCCAUGGUGGUCUGAGCCUUGAUUGGAGAGUAUCCUCUAAUUUGCGUCAGACUUGACAUAACGGAUGCCACAGGCGCUUAGGACAGCGGACACUGCUGGUGCUGCUCCCAGGGCCCCUUGACCCCCUUCUAGCUCUGCGUGCCCCUCCGCCACCCUUAACCCGGGUUUACUGCCAAGGCGUGAGACUGGAUGAAACUGACCUCAUCUGACUGGAGUGGCUUUGCCUGCACAAGUUGAGAAUGGGAAGCAUCUGGAGGAGUUAUGCCCCCCACCCCCCUAUCCCCCCAUCAUUUAGCAGCUUGGAUCCACUGGUUGGGGGAUGUAGGAACACAAAAGGCAGCUCCCUUGCUUGGAGCUGCGGCAAAUGAGGGUGCAAUUUAGGUUUCAGAGAGACACGAGGGGUCAGGCUGCAGAUGAAUUAGCCAGAAAUCGUACCUCUGGCUGUCUUUUCCCUGCCCUCGCCAGUUUCUUCAGGGAGCACUUCCUGAAUAAAUUCAGGCUCCUGAAUUCUCAUCCGAGAGUCUGAUUUUAGGGAACCAAUUUGAGGCACCCUGAUCUAUGUUUUACAAUGGUUUUUCUUUCUCUCUUUUUAAAGAGGGUGUCUUCUGUGGUACCAGGUAAUAGCAUGCGCUUUGAAGCCGGGCAAACCUGGGUUUGAAUCCCAUUUCUUCACUGGUUUUAGGUUACCUGCUCCCUCUGGGCCUGAGUUUCCUCUGUUACAAAAGUGAACAAAAAUAGAGACUUUUUUUUUUGUUUUUAGAGCUGCCCACAGCAUAGGGAAGUUCCCAGGCUGGGGGUGGAAACGGAGCCGUCGUUGCCGGCCUACACCACAGCCCCAGCAACACGGGAUCCAAGCUGUGUCUUUGACCUACACCGCAGCGCAUGGGAACGAUCUUAACCCACUGAUCGAGGCCAGGAAGUGAACCUGCAGCCUCAUGGAUAUAGUCAGGUUCUUAACCCGCUGAGCCACAAUGAGAACUCCAAAAACAGAGACAUUUUAGCUUAACGGCUGCCAUGAAGAGCAACACUCAGCAUGCAGAUGGGCAAAAAUGACACCCGCAGAGCUAUUAUUGGG